rnacentral:tRNA from 1 species
GCCUUCUUAGCUCAGUGGUAGAGCGUUGCACUUGUAAUCAGUCAUGAUUUCAUGCAAAGGUCAGUCGUUCAAUCCGGCUAGGAGGCA